rnacentral:rRNA from 1 species
CCUACGGGUGGCAGCAGUGAGGAAUAUUGGUCAAUGGACGAGAGUCUGAACCAGCCAAGUAGCGUGAAGGAAGACUGCCCUAUGGGUUGUAAACCUCUUUUAUAAAGGAAUAAAACGAGGCACGUGUGCCUUUUUGCAUGUACUUUAUGAAUAAGGAUCGGCUAACUCCGUGCCAGCAGCCGCGGUAAUACGGAGGAUCCGAGCGUUAUCCGGAUUUAUUUGGGUUAAAGGGAGCGUAGAUGGGUUGUUAAGUCAGUGGGUAAAGUGUGCGGCUCAACAGUAAAAUUGCAAUUGAUACUGGCAGUCUUGAGUACAGUUGAGGUAGGCGGAAUUCGUGGUGUAGCAGUGAAAUGCUUAGAUAUCACGAAGAACCCCGAUUGCGAAGGCAGCUUACUAAACUGUGACUGACACUGAUGCUCGAAAGUGUGGGUAUCAAACAGGAUUAGAUACCCCUGUAGUC